ACGCCAUCCACUGCAGUGAAAAAAGCAAUCACAACCACAUCAUGUUGGAAGCAAUCGCAACUUGAGACGAUCACCAAAGAAGAAGGAAAAAGCAAGAAAAGGCCAUGGUCAACUGCGUCCUACGACUAGAAAACUUUGGGAAGCUCAUGCUUCGCCAGAUAAACAAUCAUCAGCUUGUCAAAUCAAAAGUAUCGCAAAAGAGUUUGGUGAGUUUUGUUUCACAGUUCGGAGUAACAGAUGCUUGGCUGCAGAGAAAGCGUUGGUGCUCUAUAAAUAGCAUCGCUUCGCCCUUCUUUAGUCUCUCUACCUUCUAACUUCAGCCCAGUUGUUUUCCCCAUAAUCAUUUAUGAUCACAAGUCCCUUGAAGAUUGAUCACAACAAGGAUUCUGUUUAUAAUAUCCAAGCCCUGCAGCCACUACUCGAAAAAUUUCCCAAGGACAAUUAAGGGGUUUUCUUUGGGUACUUAUUUGAAGCUUUGUUUAACCAGGUUGAUCUUGAGCAACUAGUGCAGGGAACAUCUCGAAAAUGGCCGAUCAAGGAAUGCCUGAGCAACUUCCUGGGGAUUGGAUCGCCAUUCAAUACCAGAAACCAAAACCCUUCAGACGUGGUUUUGUGAUGAAGAUAAGAACCACGAGGAUUAGCAGGUUCCACAACUAUGGAGAACUAGAGCUGUAUCUGUACGAAAAAUGUGGUGGAGGACAUCGUACUUAUCCAGGUGGCGCAGACUACCCAGACAUUACGUACACCAAGCAUAGUGAUCCGUACAAUGAUGAGAAUAACAUUGAGCGUAGGCUGAGGAGCGAGCCAUGGGAGGAUUUUGCUGCAACCGUUUAUCAUAUUCUCAUCAGGAGGGUUGAGGCUUAAAAGUUCCAGCAGCAUGCCAAUCAAUAAUGCUUUCGGUGUUUAUGAUCAGACGACGAUUUUUAAGGGCUUUCUUUAUCAUUUCCCGGAACCCGGAUGCGUUCGUGUAAUGUAAAAUACUAUGCUUUUCAGUUCUAGCGCCUGGUUUAUAUGGAAUAAUUUUUGGCUCAAAGCACAUUGAAGGAAAUUUUGUUCGUGGUCUGC